UGGGGUAUUUUGGACAAUGGGGUAAACCCUGAUCCAGCCAUCCCGUUUGCGCGUUGAAGGCCUUCGGGUUGUUAAGCACUUUUGGCAGGAAAGAAACGUCAUGGGUUAUUACCUCGUGAAACUGACGGUACCUGCAGAAUAAGCACCGUCUAACUACGUGCCAGCAGCCGCGGUAAUACGUAGGGUGCAAGCGUUAACCGGAAUUACUGGGCGUAAAGCGUGCGCAGGCGGUUCGGAAAGAAAGAUGUGAAAUCCCAGAGCUCAACUUUGGAACUGCAUAUUUAGCUACCGGACUAGUGUGUGUCAGAGGGAGGUGGAAUUCCGCGUGUAGCAGUGAAAUGAGUAGAUAUGCGGAGGAACACCGAUGGGGAAGGCAGCCUCCUGGGAUAACACUGACGAACAUGCACGAAAGGGUGGGGAGCAAACAGG
rnacentral:rRNA from 1 species